AUCCCUUCUCGGCCUUUUAGCUAAGAUCAAGUGUAGUAUCUGUUUUUAUCAGUUUAAUAUCUGAUACGUCCUCUAUCCAAGGACAAAAAAGAAAAAGAAAAAAAAUGAAGGAAAAUGUGUUACGCAUUUUGUUUACUUUAUAAGUCAGAUCUCAUGGUAGUCAGAGAUUAGUCUAGUGCUUGGAGGACCAUGUGCUGA